rnacentral:tRNA from 1 species
UGGCUGAGCAGUACAGCGCUUGGUUUCCCAACCAAAGUCCCAGGUUCAAAUCCUGG